rnacentral:rRNA from 1 species
ACGUAGGGGGCGAGCGUUAUUCGGAAUUACUGGGUGUAAAGGGUAUGCAGGCGGCCCUUCAAGCCGCGUGUCAAAGUCCAGUGCUCAACCCUGGGUGUGCGCGCGAGACUGACAGGCUUGAGGGCUGGAGAGGUGAGCGGAAUUCCCGGUGUAGUGGUAAAAUGCGUAGAUAUCGGGAGGAACACCGGCGGCGCAGGCGGCUCACUGGACAGUUUCUGACGCUAAGAUACGAAAGCGUGGGGAGCAAACAG